GGAGACCCAAGUUGACAAACGUCGGCGUAAAACGUGGUUUAUUACAUUAUUACACUAAAGCUAAACCUCUUCAAGACUGUUGUACGUGUUCGAAAGAGAGAGAAUCUUCUACGAAAGUGGCUUUAAAUACUAUGAACCCACGAAAGCUAGGAAACAAACUGGGAUUAGAUACCCCACUAUGCCUAGCCCUAAACCAAGGUAACUAUACACUACAGUUACUUGCCCGGAAAUUACGAGCACCAGCUUAAAACCCAAAGGACUUGGCGGUGACUUAGACCCAUCUAGAGGAGCCUGUUCUGUAAUCGACACCCCCCGUUAAACCUAACCCUCUCUUGUCAUCCCCGCCUAUAUACCGCCGUCGUCAGCUUACCCUGUGAAGGACUAGUAGUGGGCAAAAUCGGCACAGCCCAAAACGCCAGGUCAAGGUGUAGCGUAUGAGAGGGGAAGAAAUGGGCUACAUUCACUGCACCAGUGAAAACGGAUAAUGCUUUGAAACAAGCACUUUUGAAGGAGGAUUUAGUAGUAAGAGGGGAAUAGAGUGCCCCCCUGAAACAGGCUCUGAGACACGCACAUACCGCCCGUCACUCUCUCCAGCAUAGCAGGUAUAGUAUUAAAUAAACAAUGACCCUAGGCACAAGGGGAGGCAAGUCGUAACAUGGUAAGUGUACCGGAAGGUGCACUUGGUAAACAUC
rnacentral:rRNA from 1 species